UACGUAGGGUGCAAGCGUUGUCCGGAAUUAUUGGGCGUAAAGAGCGUGUAGGCGGCCCGACCAGUCCGCUGUGAAAGUCCAAGGGCUCAACCCUGGAAUGCCGGUGGAUACUGUCGGGCUAGAGUCCGGAAGGGGCGAGUGGAAUUCCGUGGUGUAGCGGUGAAAUGCGCAGAUAUCAGGAGGAACACCAAUGGCGAAAGGCACGUCUG
rnacentral:rRNA from 1 species